UUACUAAGCGGAGGAAAAGAAACUAACAAGGAUUCCCCUAGUAACGGCGAGUGAAGAGGGAAAAGCCCAGCACCGAAUCCCACAGCCUUGCGCUGUCGGGAACUGUGGUGUAUAGGAAGCCUACUUGUCGGCGUGUUCGGGUACCCAAGUCCUCCUGAUCGUGGCCUCUCCCAUAGCGGGUGUCAGGCCCAUACAGGCACCCGACGGCGUCGGCUUGGAGCUUCCUCGGAGUCGGGUUGUUUGGGAAUG
rnacentral:rRNA from 5 species